AACGAACGUUGGCGGCGUGGAUUAGGCAUGCAAGUCGUGCGCGAAAGUGGUAGCAAUACCACGAGUAGAGCGGCGAACUGGUGAGUACAAGGUGACUAACGUACCCCUCAGUGGGGGAUAACCCGCCGAAAGGCGGGCUAAUACCGCAUGAUCUCCCGGGUACCCCGGUAUCCGGGAGCAAAGCAGCAAUGCGCUGAGGGAUCGGGUCACCUCCCAUUAGCUAGUUGGUAGGGUAACGGCCUACCAAGGCUACGAUGGGUAGCUGGUCUGAGAGGAUGGUCAGCCACACUGGGACUGAGAUACGGCCCAGACUCCUACGGGGGGCAGCAGUCUAGAGGCUUCGGCAAUGCCCGAAAGGGUGACCGAGCGACGCCGCGUGUGGGAUGAAGGGCUUCGGCCUGUAAACCACUUUUCUCUGGGAAGAAACUCCGGGUCGUGCACCCGG
rnacentral:rRNA from 1 species